rnacentral:rRNA from 1 species
UACGUAGGGUGCGAGCGUUGUCCGGAAUUAUUGGGCGUAAAGAGCUCGUAGGCGGUCUGUCGCGUCCGUUGUGAAAACUCGAGGCUCAACCUCGGGCUUGCAGUGGAUACGGGCAGACUAGAGUGCGGUAGGGGGAGACUGGAAUUCCUGGUGUAGCGGUGGAAUGCGCAGAUAUCAGGAGGAACACCGAUGGCGAAGGCAGGUCUCUGGGCCGCAACUGACGCUGAGGAGCGAAAGCAUGGGGAGCGAACAGG